rnacentral:lncRNA from 1 species
CUGACUAUGGCCUCCAUCUGUUGCCAGGUUCAGCAGCCUGAACGGGGGCUUGGCUCUGGCUCUCCAGUCCUCAUCCAUGAUGCCCCAGAACUCAACCUUCCAUCUGAGAGCUGAACUCGCUCCUCCAAUGUUCUCUGAAUAAUGGAAGUGUCAGAGCAGAGGGAUUCAAGGAUCCUGGCCAAGGAUCAGCUGCCCUAUCUGCCUUCACAUGUUCCUGAGGACCCAGAGACUCCAGGCUGCCCCCUGACCACUGGAGAUGGCUGCAAAGGGGGCGUCCUCUGGAAGAUGGUCAGCAGCCUCUAGAGGAAGCAGACAUCCUGG